rnacentral:tRNA from 1 species
GGCGGGAUGCGCCCACCAUUGGGCGCGAAAGCUGAGACUCAUACUCAAGAUGACGACGGACGGUGUCAGUGGGGGUUCGAGUCCCCCUCCCGGCU